ACACUGACGUCGCGACGCAUAUCAAUAAGCGGAGGAAAAGAAACUAACAAGGAUUCCCUUAGUAACGGCGAGUGAAGCGGGAAGAGCUCAAAUUUGAAAUCUUCAAGGUUCUACCUUGACGAAUUGUAGUUUAAAGAAGUGUUUUCUGUUAGAUGAGUAGCAAAAGUUCCUUGGAAUAGGACAUCAUAGAGGGUGAGAAUCCCGUAUUUGGUCAUUCCUUCUAGCUUUGUGAUACACUUUCAAAGAGUCGGAUUGUUUGGGAAUGCAGUCCAAAAUGGGUGGUAAAUUUCAUCUAAAGCUAAAUAUUGGCGAGAGACCGAUAGCGAACAAGUACCGUGAGGGAAAGAUGAAAAGAACUUUGAAAAGAGAGUUAAACAGUACGUGAAAUUGUCAAAAGGGAAGCGUUUGACACCAGUGUUGUUUUUCCGAAAAUCAAUUAUAAAUGUUUUGUUUCUGAGGAGUGAUGACUUCAUCGGCUUCCUUCUCUCUUCACGAAACUUUUGUAAUGCACUUUUCGGUUAACAAGUCAACAUCAAUUUCUUUUGUUGUAAAAGAGUAUUCGGAAGGUGGCUUUCUUUUCGGAGAAAGUGUUUAUAGCCCUAUACUUCUACAAUCGGAGAGAUUGAGGUCUGCAGCGUAGAUCCUUCGGGGUUAGAUACACUUGUGCUAAGUUAUAGCUUUUCAUAGACAACUUGUUGACUAUGUUUAGUCUUGUAGCUUACUCGCUUGUGCUAUUUUACCUACGCUUAGGAUGUUGAGUCGUAGAGCACGCAG
rnacentral:rRNA from 1 species